GUGUCAGCAGCCGCGGUAAUACAGAGGGCGCAAACGUUGCUCGGAAUUACUGGGCGUAAAGCGUGCGUAGGCGGACGAAUAAGUCGGGUGUGAAAUCCCUGGGCUCAACCCAGGAACUGCAUUCGAAACUGCUCGUCUAGAGUACUGGAGAGGAAAGCGGAAUUCUUGGUGUAGAGGUGAAAUUCGUAGAUAUCAGGAGGAACACCAGUGGCGAAGGCGGCUUUCUGGACAGUUACUGACGCUCAGACACGAAAGCGUGGGGAGCAAACAGGAUUAGAUACCCGAGUAGUCC
rnacentral:rRNA from 1 species